GUUGGAACUGUAACUUGAAUUGUGUCUACUUUGUAAUGUGCAUGAGGAUAAAUGUGACUAUUUGGCUUCAACUGGUUUGGUGAAAAAGCAAGGGCAAGAGAGUGUCGUCUUAUGUUGAAGCAGAGAUGACUACAGCACAACACUUGUCAACUGUCUAUGCCUCUGAAUCAUGUGGGCUAAUGCUAUGCUGUAGAGAGCGCCGUUGUCUUUUUAUACAAAACAGAUUGGAGAUGAAGCUCAUGUUCUGGUGCAUACUUAAGUUCCAGUUCUUUGUCUGGAGCAUCCUGGGCUGUUGUAAGAACAGCCUACUAAGCAUGUAGUCCUGCUUAUCAGUGUGAGUGUUUAAAAAAAAAAAAAAAAAAAAAAAAAUCUCUGAGUCAUUGACAGACCUGGAAUAUUUAGGCAUGGCCAUGGAUAUUUUUUCUCUGAUGUCAUCUGUUUGAUUCUGCUAAUGAGAAACAAUUCUCAAGCUAUCUCUCAGUGCAGCUGGACACUUUUUUUCUCUCCUGGAUUGUACAGUGAUUCUGCUUGCUUUGUUCCAAAGGUUGGCCAAGGUUUUGAUGACAGCAUCUAACCAGGUGACUGCAUACAACUCGUGGGCAUAUAACCAAGCAUUCUUCUCAUUGCUUGUAUCAGAUGAUCAAAACUGAAGGAACCUCAAACCGUCUUGGACUGAACACUGAAAAACCAUGUGACAAACCCCAAACUGUCAUAGAUGAGAAUGUUGCAUGCUGCAGUCAUGUACCAUCUAUUGCUGCUUCUUGGGCACACAAGCAUGUUCCUGAAGAUCCCCGUGUCGAUAUCCCAGAGGGAACAUUCAUGUCCAGCUCUCACUUUAGAAACCACAGGCACAGCAGUCUUGAAGUUAUGAGGAAUUACCCUGAUUGAAUGGCAUGAAAAGGAAUGGCAGUAAAGGUAAAUUGUGAACUUGUAUUUUAUUUCUUGAUCCCUAGCACACAGAAAAUGUACUGU
rnacentral:lncRNA from 1 species